rnacentral:rRNA from 1 species
GAUGAACGCUGGCGGCGUGCCUAAUACAUGCAAGUCGAACGCUGGAAAUCUAGCUUGCUAGAUUGAAGGAGUGGCGAACGGGUGAGUAAUACAUAAGCAACCUACUCACGAAGACUGGGAUAAUCUCUGGAAACGGGGACUAAUACCGGAUAGGUAAUCGGAAGGCAUCUUCUGAUUAUUAAAGGUUAAAAACACUGGUGGAUGGGCUUAUGGCGCAUUAGUUAGUUGGUGAGGUAACGGCCCACCAAGACGAUGAUGCGUAGCCGGCCUGAGAGGGUGAACGGCCACAUUGGGACUGAGACACGGCCCAGACUCCUACGGGAGGCAGCAGUAGGGAAUUUUCGGCAAUGGGGGAAACCCUGACCGAGCAACGCCGCGUGAGUGAUGACGGCCUUCGGGUUGUAAAGCUCUGUUGUAAGGGAAGAACGGUAGAUAGAGAAUAUCUAAAUGACGGUACCUUACCAGAAAGCCACGGCUAACUACGUG